rnacentral:rRNA from 1 species
GACGAACGCUGGCGGCGUGCCUAAUACAUGCAAGUCGAGCGCUGAAGGCGGAGCUUGCUUCUCUGGAUGAGUUGCGAACGGGUGAGUAACGCGUAGGUAACCUGCCUGGUAGCGGGGGAUAACUAUUGGAAACGAUAGCUAAUACCGCAUAAUAUUGACUAUUGCAUGAUAGUCAGUUGAAAGGUGCAACUGCACCACUACCAGAUGGACCUGCGUUGUAUUAGCUAGUUGGUGGGGUAACGGCUCACCAAGGCGACGAGACAUAGCCGACCUGAGAGGGGGAUCGGCCACACUGGGAGGGAGACACGGCCCAGACUCCUACGGGAGGCAGCAGUAGGGAAACGGCGGCAAGGGACGGAAGACUGAGCGAGCAACGCCGCGGGAGGGAAGAAGGAUGUCGGAUCGGAAAGCUCUGUUGUAAGAGAAGAACGAGUGUGAGAGUGGAAAGCUCACACUGUGACGGUAUCUUACCAGAAAGGGACGGCUAACUACGUG